UUGUAUCUCUAUCUGAGAUAUUUUUCUUCUUACAACCAAAAUAUAUUUUUUACUAAUUUUUUUACUAAUUCAUUCUCUCUUUAUUUUUAUUAUUUAUUUAUUUAUUUUUAUUUGGAAGAUUUGUAGGACUUAGUAGUGAUCUCUAUAUUUUUUAAUGGUUGUGAUUAAUUAAAAAUAGACUGCAUAUUGAUUUUUUAUUAUUUUGUAAAUAAUUUUACUGUAUUGACUCAAAUUAGUUAGACUAUAAAAUGUUAUAAUUUUAUUUUAUGGAUUUUUCUCUAAUGCAUAACUAUAUACACUAAUAGCAUGCAAGUAUUAAGUUAGAUAAUAAUAAUAUCAUAUUGGAAAGUGUUACUCAAAAUACUUAGAUUAUAUUUUAUAUUUAUUUUUUGGUGUAACUAUUAUAAAUAUUUAAAUUAAUUUUGUAGCUUAAGUUAUGAUGGAAGAGAGUAGUGGUUCAAUCGAUGUAAAGAAGAAUAGUGAUUCAAUCGUUGUGAAGAAGAGAAAAUGUCAAUGCGGGGCUGAAUGUGUAGUAAGAAAAAAUAAAAAUAACGGCGAAUUAUUCUAUGGUUGUCCAUUGUGGAAGAAUAAAACUGACCAAGGCUGUGGAUUUCAAGGACUUGUUGAAGGUGAAAGGUCGACUGCUUUAAAAUCAUUUGAUACCAAAGAAAUACAUCAAUUGUUGGCGGCAAUAAAUUCAAUUGUGCAGUUGUUGUUGGAGAUGAACAUUGUUUUUAAUAAAAUAGCUGAUUUGUUGUCGAAGAUGAAUAUUAUGUUUGCUAAAAUGUUACAAUGUGUAAUUAUUUAUUUUGUUAUGUAUUUGUUAUUUAAAUGUUUGUAUAUGUGAAAGUUCAAUAAUAAAUAAUUUUAUGUA